UACGUAGGGUGCGAGCGUUAAUCGGAAUUACUGGGCGUAAAGUGUGCGCAGGCGGCCGAGCAAGUCGAGUGUGAAAGCCCCGAGCUUAACUUGGGAACUGCGCUCGAAACUACUUGGCUAGAGUGUGGCAGAGGGAGGUGGAAUUCCACGUGUAGCGGUGAAAUGCGUAGAGAUGUGGAGGAACACCGAUGGCGAAGGCAUCCUCCUGGGCCAACACUGACGCUCAUGCACGAAAGCGUGGGGAGCAAACAGG
rnacentral:rRNA from 1 species